ACAACGGUGUUAUUCAACACCACCCAAUGAUUCUUGGAAGGAUGG
rfam:Picea glauca, whole genome shotgun sequence.